CGACAACCACAAACCUGCAGGAUGUGCCACAAGGGACGCCGGAGGGACACCGUUAGUCUGCUGAGAUGGCUUUCCCUUCAAUGGAGGUAGUGACAGAGCAGGACAGCAGAGAUCCUGAUUCACAGCAAGGGCCUCCGACAAGCACAAACCUGAAGUUUGUGCCACAAGGGGCGACAAAGGGACACCGUCAGUGUGCUGAGAUGGCUUCCACUUCAAUGGAGUAUCAGUCGACACAGGAAACCUCACUCUUGCUAUCACAGCAGCCAUCAACAAGCAGCAUUGUGAGG